rnacentral:rRNA from 1 species
AUGGCCGCCGCCGACCGUCUCUCCGCCCUGGCCGACGAUCUCCUGCAGCACAUCCUGUCCUUCGCGCCGGCCAAGGAGGCCGCGGCCAGCGCCGCGCUCUCGCGCCGGUGGCGCCCGCUGUGGCGCCGCACCAGCGCCCUCAACCUCGACAGCAGGGCCUACCGCCACUCCGACGACUUCUUCCGCCACGGGGAGGCCGCCCUCGGCAGCCGCCUUCGGACGCCGCCCAGGAGGCUCACGCUCUUCCUGGUGGAACGCGCCUACCUCGUCGGCGACACCUGGGGUUACUUGAUGGACGAGGACGCGGAGCCGGCGUACGACGCCAGGAUCCCCGGCCUCCUUGCUGACCCCGCCGCGGCCGCGCUCGAGGAGCUCCGCAUCGCCGCCGAGCAUUCCUACCCCUUCAUGUACGUCCCGCCACUGUCCUCCCUGCCGUGCGCCGCCACCACACUCCGGGUGCUGGAGCUCCACCACUGCGACCUCCAGCCGCCGGCGCCGUCUACGGAGCCGUCCACGUGCCUCGCUUUCCCGUGCCUCACGGAUCUGUCGCUGCGCGGCUGCACUUACCUGCAGGGGUAUCUCCAGGCCGUGGUCGACGCCGCGCCGGCGCUAACCAGGCUUGCCCUGGUGGACGUCACUAAUAAGCCGCCAAAGCUGGCCGGUUCCGGCAAGAGGGAUCGCUACGAGGAAUCCAAGUCUUUCAACCUGCCCCUUCGCCUCCGCUCCCCGACGGUCACCACCUUGGUGCUCGAGACCAAUGACUCCCGGGAGGAUGAGCUCGAGGAGUCCCGCAACAUCGGCAUACAACUCGACAUGCCCAGCCUGCGCUCCUUCCGCUACAAGGGGUUCCCCGUCAAGCUCUGGCUCGCACCGCCGAUGCCGGGGCUGGCACGAGUCAACCUCGACACCUGUCGCCGCGAGAAGUGCGAGCCCGUGGCUGCCAUGCUCGCGAGCUUCUCCAGCACUAGGGUCCUCAAGCUGCACCUCGUCGCCAUCGAGGAGAUCAUCUCCGACCCCGAUGAGGACUCUAGCAACCAAAACCCCGGCGAGGCCACCAUCCUGCCGACCUUCCCGAACCUCAAGCUCCUCGAGAUACACGGGCUCUUCAAGUAUCGGAACAACAACACGGCGCUGGCACUGGCCACGCUUCUCCGCGCCUGCCCGGCGUUGUCGGAGCUCCGACUCAGGCUAAACAUGGCGUCAAACUACCACUACAAUCGCAAGACCGAGGAACGAGAAGCCGGAGGCCCCUUCGCCCUGUCGGUGGAAAGGUUCAAGAGGCUCGGGUCAAUGUGCGCCGAACACCGCGACGACGUGGAGCUCAGCGCGGUCUCGGACCUCCCGGACCCUUUCACCUACAGCUGCACGUUUGGCUGCCUGAGGACGAGCCUGCGGAAGGUGACGCUGCAGUUUAAGUACUCCAAGGAGGUCAACUGUUUCCAGGUGCAGUUCGCCAAGUUCCUGGUGGAGAACGCCAUGGUGCUUGAGGAGAUGCACGUCGAGGAUGGAGACCAGUUUUGGCCGGACCACCUUUGGGACAAGCUAGCGAGAUGGAGGGCAGACGCGUUCCGGAGGAAGAACCUGCCGGACACGGCCGCUGGCUUUCGAGUCUACCAGCUGGCUAAUCCUGUGGAAGAUCCUGAUGUACAUUAUUGA